GACGAACGCUGGCGGCGUGCUUAACACAUGCAAGUCGAACGGAAAGGCCCUGCUUUUUUGGGUUCCUCGAGUGGCGAACGGGUGAUUAACACGUGAUUAACCUCCCUUUGACUUUGGGAAAACUUCAGGAAACUGGGCUUAAUACCGGAUAGGACCUCCUGCUGCAUGGUGGGGGUUGGAAAUUUUCGGCGGUUGGGGAUGGACUCGCGGCUUAUCAGCUUGUUGGUGGGGUAGUGGCUUACCAAGGCUUUGACGGGUAGCCGGCCUGAGAGGGUGACCGGCCACAUUGGGACUGAGAUACGGCCCAGACUCCUACGGGAGGCAGCAGUGGGGAAUAUUGCACAAUGGGCGGAAGCCUGAUGCAGCAACGCCGCGUGCGGGAUGACGGCCUUCGGGUUGUAAACCGCUUUCGCCUGUGACGAAGCGUGAGUGACGGUAAUGGGUAAAGAAGCACCGGCUAACUACGUG
rnacentral:rRNA from 1 species